UACGUAGGUGGCAAGCGUUGUCCGGAAUUAUUGGGCGUAAAGCGCGCGCAGGCGGUUCUUUAAGUCUGAUGUGAAAGCCCACGGCUCAACCGUGGAGGGUCAUUGGAAACUGGGGAACUUGAGUACAGAAGAGGAAAGCGGAAUUCCACGUGUAGCGGUGAAAUGCGUAGAGAUGUGGAGGAACACCAGUGGCGAAGGCGGCUUUCUGGCCUGUAACUGACGCUGAGGCGCGAAAGCGUGGGGAGCAAACAGG
rnacentral:rRNA from 1 species